AGUCGAACGAUGAACUGGAGCUUGCUCCAGGGAUUAGUGGCGAACGGGUGAGUAACACGUGAGUAACCUGCCCUUGACUCUGGGAUAAGCGCUAGAAAUGGCGUCUAAUACCGGAUACGAGCUUCAGCCGCAUGGCUAGGAGUUGGAAAGAAUUUUGGUCAAGGAUGGACUCGCGGCCUAUCAGCUAGUUGGUGAGGUAAUGGCUCACCAAGGCGACGACGGGUAGCCGGCCUGAGAGGGUGACCGGCCACACUGGGACUGAGACACGGCCCAGACUCCUACGGGAGGCAGCAGUGGGGAAUAUUGCACAAUGGGCGAAAGCCUGAUGCAGCAACGCCGCGUGAGGGAUGACGGCCUUCGGGUUGUAAACCUCUUUUAGUAGGGAAGAAGCGAAAGUGACGGUACCUGCAGAAAAAGCACCGGCUAACUACGUGCCAGCAGCCGCGGUAAUACGUAGGGUGCAAGCGUUGUCCGGAAUUAUUGGGCGUAAAGAGCUCGUAGGCGGUUUGUCGCGUCUGCUGUGAAAUCUGGGGGCUCAACCCCCAGCCUGCAGUGGGUACGGGCAGACUAGAGUGCGGUAGGGGAGAUUGGAAUUCCUGGUGUAGCGGUGGAAUGCGCAGAUAUCAGGAGGAACACCGAUGGCGAAGGCAGAUCUCUGGGCCGUAACUGACGCUGAGGAGCGAAAGCAUGGGGAGCGAACAGGAUUAGAUACCCUGGUAGUCCAUGCCGUAAACGUUGGGAACUAGAUGUGGGGGCCAUUCCACGGUCUCCGUGUCGCAGCUAACGCAUUAAGUUCCCCGCCUGGGGAGUACGGCCGCAAGGCUAAAACUCAAAGGAAUUGACGGGGGCCCGCACAAGCGGCGGAGCAUGCGGAUUAAUUCGAUGCAACGCGAAGAACCUUACCAAGGCUUGACAUAUACCGGAAACGUCCA
rnacentral:rRNA from 1 species